CACGUAGGGUGCGAGCGUUGUCCGGAAUUAUUGGGCGUAAAGAGCUCGUAGGCGGUGUGUCGCGUCGGCCGUGAAAACCUGCAGCUUAACUGUGGGCGUGCGGUCGAUACGGGCAUCACUGGAGUUCGGCAGGGGAGACUGGAAUUCCUGGUGUAGCGGUGAAGUGCGCAGAUAUCAGGAGGAACACCGGUGGCGAAGGCGGGUCUCUGGGCCGAUACUGACGCUGAGGCGCGAAAGCUAGGGGAGCGAACGGG
rnacentral:rRNA from 1 species